CCUCGCAUGAAGCCUUUCGCAUCUCCUUCUGUCGCACGAACCUGGCUCCCUCCUGGAUCCGCGCCGCCAACCACUCCUCCCCGAAUCCACGCCGCUGGCCGCUCCUCCUGGAUCCGCGCGGGCGGCUGCUCGUCUCCUUCAUCUACGGCGCGGCCGGUCCUCUCCUUCAGCAGCGCCGCUGGCAGCUCCUCUCCUUCACAGCGCCGCCGGCUGCUCCUCUCUCUCAUUCGUGCCGGCGACCGGGAAGACGGGCGCCAGUGCCCAGCGCUCAGCCGACAGCCAUGGCGCGGUGGUGCGCAGCCCAUGUUCGGGAAUACAGGCGGCAGCGGGGGUAGCAGAGGGUGAUGUGGGGCUCACGGCCGGGAAGAGGAGCAGGCGGCCACGCGGCCAAGGCUGGGAAGAGGGGCACCCGAUCCAGUGCUCAGGCAAAGAUAAUUGGUGAUGCAAAGAUAAUAAAAAUGUAUGAUUGUGUAUGUACAUUGACUAAGUGGUGAUGCAAAGAUAAUAAAAAUGCAUGAUUGUGUAUGUACAUUGACUAAGUGGUGAUGCAAAGAUAAUUGGUGAUGCAAAGAUAAUAAAAAUGUAUGAUUUGUGUAUGAUUGUCUAUUCGACCAACCAAACAUUGAGAUGUAACCGUUCCAUUCCAC
rnacentral:rRNA from 1 species